GGAGUUAGCCGGUGCUUCUUCUGUGAGUGAUGUCCUUCCUGCCGGCUAUUAACCCGCAGGCCUUCUUCCUCACUGAAAGUGCUUUACAACCCGAAGGCCUUCUUCACACACGCGGCAUGGCUGGAUCAGGGUUGCCCCCAUUGUCCAAUAUUCCCCACUGCUGCCUCCCGUAGGAGUCUGGGCCGUGUCUCAGUCCCAGUGUGGCUGAUCAUCCUCUCAGACCAGCUACGGAUCGUCGCCUUGGUGAGCCGUUACCUCACCAACCAGCUAAUCCGACAUAGGCUCAUCCGAUAGCGCGAGGCCCGAAGGUCCCCCGCUUUCCCCCGUAGGGCGUAUGCGGUAUUAGCCUGGGUUUCCCCAGGUUAUCCCCCACUACCGGGCAGAUUCCUAUGCAUUACUCACCCGUCCGCCGCUCGCCACCAGGGAGCAAGCUCCCCGUGCUGCCGCUCGACUUGCAUGUGUUAGGCCUGCCGCCAGCGUUCAAUCUGAGCCAUAGANAACAACUCGACACUAGACGGCGGUGCGGACGAACGGCGACUAAG
rnacentral:rRNA from 1 species